rnacentral:rRNA from 1 species
CCUACGGGAGGCAGCAGUAGGGAAUUUUCGGCAAUGGGGGGAACCCUGACCGAGCAACGCCGCGUGAACGAAGAAGUUAUUCGUAAUGUAAAGUUCUUUUAACAGGGAAGAAAGAGAAAUUUGACGGUACCUGAAGAAUAAGCUCCGGCUAACUACGUGCCAGCAGCCGCGGUAAUACGGAGGGAGCGAGCGUUACGCGGAAUUACUGGGCGUAAAGGGAGCGUAGGCCGGUCUUUAAGCGUGCCGUGAAAUUUUGGGGCUCAACCAGGGGAGUGCGGCGCGAACUGGAGACCUUGAGUGCGCGGAAGGCAGGCAGAAUUCGUGGUGUAGCGGUGAAAUGCGUAGAUAUCACGAAGAACCCCGAUUGCGAAGGCAGCCUGCCGCAGCGUUACUGACGCUGAAGCUCGAAAGCGCGGGGAUCGAACAGGAUUAGAUACCCGAGUAGUC